UACGAAGGGGGCUAGCGUUGCUCGGAAUUACUGGGCGUAAAGGGCGCGUAGGCGGGCCGAUCAGUCAGGGGUGAAAUCCCACGGCCCAACCGUGGAAGUGCCUCUGAUACUGUCGGCCUCGAGGGGGAUAGGGGCGUGCGGAACUCAGGGUGGAGCGGUGAAAUGCGUAGAUAUCCUGAGGAACACCGGUGGCGAAAGCGGCGCGCUGGAUCCCUUCUGACGCUGAGGCGCGAAAGCCAGGGGAGCAAAGCGGG
rnacentral:rRNA from 1 species